rnacentral:rRNA from 1 species
GACAGAGGGUGCAACCGUUGUUCGGAAUUACUGGGCGUAAAGCGCGUGUAGGCUGCUUCGCAAGUCGGAUGUGAAAGCCCUGGGCUCAACCUAGGAAGUGCACUCGAAACUGCGAAGCUUGAGUCCUGGAGAGGAAGGCGGAAUUCUCGGUGUAGAGGUGGAAUUCGUAGAUAUCGAGAGGAACACCGGUGGCGAAGGCGGCCUUCUGGACAGUGACUGACGCUGAGACGCGAAAGCGUGGGGAGCAAACAGG